ensembl:lncRNA
CCACUCCUUCUCCCCCUCUCUCUCUCUCUCUCUCUGUGUGUGUGUGUGUGUGUGUGUGUGUGUGUACAUAUUCACAUGUGUGGAGAUGGGUGGGGAGCAGAGGAUGAUGUUAGGACAUCCUCUUCUAUUUGUUUCUCUACCUUAUUUUUUCAGGCAGACUCUCUCCUUGGCUUGCAGCUCACCAUUUUGGCUAGAAUGACUGGCUGACCCCCAGUACAAGAGAUGGUGCCACUCAGACUCAAGGUGAGUCUUAGCUCUUCAGUUAAACCUCUCUGAUCACAGCCUCAAAGACACCUCUACCCCAGAAGAAGUCUCCUAGGUGACUCCAAAUCCAGUCAAGUUGACAGUGAAGACUAAUUGAUCAUCACAGAGGGUAAGUGGAACCUCAACCAGUCAGUGAAGUGAGGUGAGCUGAGGCAGGAUCCAGUGUGGCUUCCACUGGUAAGAAAGGAGCCUUUUCAUACCAGCUUCUGGCAGAGUGGGACUCAGCAAGGAUCACAGAAUAACAGGAAGAGGAGACAGGAGAAUGAUAUUUAUUUCAAUGACCCUCAGAAGGAAUAAACAGAGAGUAAUAUAAAAGGAAGAUGUCGUUGUUUGAUUAAUUGAUUGAUUGAUUUAGUCAACAACAAAUUAGAAGAAAUGAGUGAAUGGACAACAUCUACUUGGACUUUCAAAUCCUUUUACCAAAUUACAUGUUGGAGUGAGCUGAACAAGCAGUACUCUAAGGAUUUAUGCUUUGACAAGCUCAAGGGUUGAAUAGCUGCUUCAGAGUUAAGAUCCUCUGACCUUACUGUGUUUCCCUGCCAAGGAACUAGGAGGCUCUCUGAAAGUCCCUUAUCUCACCAAAGGCAGACAUGCAAUGGUCCUGACCCCUCUCUGGGAAUCACAGCAAGAACCAUGAAAGAAGAAAGAUGAUUAAGUGAGACCUCAUCCCAAGACCCUUGUCCUUAGGAACAGAGCCCAUUUUGCUAGUGAAGAAGCUGGAAGCUGUGAAUCCCGUUUUCAGAACAGGACACCUCAACUUCCUUCCUCUGAUCCCUAAUUGCAGCCUCUUUGGGCAGCUCAAAGGCCUUCCUCACUGGCUAUUGUUUCUCUUUGCAGCUGGGAUGGUAUCUGAACCCCACUGCCCAGCCUUCUAGGUCAUCACUCUUUGUAUCUGGGCUCAGGGGUCACUCCUGUCCCUUUCUUUCCUAUGAGUCUGCUCGCCUGCUCCUCUUAGCAGAUAUUGAGAGAAUGAGCGGAGUCUUUGGUGCCAUGUGCUGGGCUGUGGCUACGAGAGCCUCCAAUACAUGUAGUGAUUUUGCAGCAGUGGAGAAGCAGAGUGGGGAAGGAUGGAGGCUGGAAAGAGGGGAACUCUUGCUUCUCUCCAAUGUACCAACACAGUCAACUGUGAAAGAAACAUCAGAACUCAAUGUGGUCCCUCUCUAAGCCUUAGAGUCUAAGGUAUGGCUUAUGAAACAUGAAAGUAAAGAGCAUAUAUACCAGAGAGGUUGCUGCAAACAAUAUCUUUUGGAGACAACAUACAAUUGUGUUCACAAGCACCCUGCAACCUUUGUCAUCUGAACAAGUCCUUCACCAAAGGCAGCCCUCAGCCUUUCAUCAUGGAAGGGAGAAGAGUUCUCAAGAUUCCACUUUUCCUUAGGGAACUAAUGACAAUUAGCAAUAGCUUUGGAGUGGGGUGUCAUUUGGUUCGGUGCUGUAGGCUCUGCUAGUUGCCUGUGCUCCACUGGUACUCAUAUAGGCAACCAUAUUUCAGCUCAGUGGGUCGCACACAUAAAAGUCAAAAAGGUAGGGAUGUGGUUUGUUGCUAAGGAGAAGGGCUGAGUGACAGGAAGAGAGGAGGGGAGAUGAGACCAAGGAACAGAUCAGAAAAGAUGACAAGUCAUUACAAACAUGGACAAAAUUAUCAAUAAAAAGAAAUCAACUGUGGCUUUUCAGAAGAUGGGGAUGAAACCAAAGUGGGGCCGGGGCCCUUCCUCGGGGUUCUUUUUAUUUGGUGGUUAUGAUAAGUGAGAGUAGUUUGGCCCUAGUUGCCCUUGAACCCAAGAAAAUAGUAGCCUGGAAAAAAAUGAGGUACAAGGGAGGAAUUAGGUGGUGGAGGAAGGAGGUAGAAAAGGAGGCUUUUUCUGACCCUUGUCCCACUCAGUAGAUUUCGCACAGAACCACCAUAGAGAACUCUCUAGAAGUGUAUGUCCUCCAGCGUGGCCCCGGGGCCUGCAGAGGGCAGCAGUGUCCACCCACCUCUGGAAACCCUCUAGUCUUUUCAGCCUAUGACUUCCCAGGCAGCAACUUUAGGAAACGCUCUGACUUACAGGAUUAAUGCCAUCUUGUCUGUAACACCUUCUUCAAAGCAGGGCUUUGUGAAAGAUUCCGGAUGUCAAGGAUCCAGAAUGGGUAGAGGACUACAGAGUCAGCUUGCAGUCCUCCAACCCAUAACCAUACUCCAUCUCCUGCAAGACACAAGGAUGCUCUGCAAGCUCCAACUGUUCUUUCUAGUCAAGUCUGGUCAGUGUGGCCACUUGGCAAAAGUGUGUCAGGGCUGGGGCCGAGAUGCCAAGUACAAGUCCCCGUGCUCUGAAAACCGCAACCUUUAAAAUCCUCUCUGAGAUGGGGAUCUAAUUAAACGCCGUGUGCUUGAAGCUGGUUCAAAUUAGUUUAUCCAGUUCUGACUGUUUUUUCCCACGUGAGCACACGCACUAACAACGUUGAAUGUGCCAUGGCUUCUAGCAUCCUAAAAUAAAAUACUCUUAUGCUAUUUAGGAUUUUUCAAAAAGUAAAUAAAUGGAAUGACUGCCCUUAAAUUGGUAAACCAAUUCCAGCCACCAUAAAGUCUUAAAAAGCCAGGAGUCUUCUAAAACUCCUUUAUGAGCACACAUGGAGAAACGGCUGCAAAUGUUAUUGUUUGUGAAUAAAAUGUAAAUUAGGGCUCUUGUGUUCACCUGCGAGUUUUUCUCCAAAGCCAGUGAUCGCAUUUGAAAACUGCAAUUCUCAACAGAAAGAGAAAAGUUCAGUGCUGAUUGCUGGAUAUUUGGACCUCCCAGUGCAAACAUUAACUGGCUGAGAGGCCCUCUGGAAUGUAAUGAAGGGAACAAUGUUGGGCUAAGAGCCAAAGCCCGC